CCUACGGGGGGCAGCAGUGGGGAAUAUUGCGCAAUGGGCGCAAGCCUGACCCAGCAACGCCGCGUGAAGGAAGAAGGCCCUCGGGUUGUAAACUUCUUUUAUCCGGGACGAAACAAAUGACGGUACCGAAUGAAUAAGCCACGGCUAACUACGUGCCAGCCGCCGCGGUAAUACGUAGGUGGCAAGCGUUAUCCGGAUUUACUGGGUGCAAAGGGCGUGUAGGCGGGGGAGCAAGUCAGACGUGAAAUUCCAGGGCUCAACCCUGGAACUGCGUUUGAAACUGGUCUGCUUGAGUGAUGGAGAGGGGGGCAGAAUUCCGGGUGUAGCGGUGAAAUGCGUAGAUAUACGGAGGAACACCAGUGGCGAAGGCGGCCUGCUGGACAUUAACUGACGCUGAGGUGCGAAAGCGUGGGGAGCAAACAGGAUUAGAUACCCGGGUAGUC
rnacentral:rRNA from 1 species